UGUAAUGAGGUAAUUGAAGCUUCACUAUCCUUAAACUUGUUCUCCUGUUCAUUCAUUAGCGUUGCCUUCGUCUCCAAUACAAACCUGGCCAUGAUGUUAAGAGUGUAUUAGAGUAAUGUCACUUAUAUUUUCUAAACAGUCCAUAACUGAAGUUUUUGUUCUCUAUUGCGUAGCAUGUUCAAAUAGGCACCGCAACUCACGUUUUCCCUGCAAAAACAAAAAUAUAUUGAGUCAUCAUAUUUCUGAAGAAAACUAGGGUAUCCACUAAAUGCAUCUGCAAUACAAUUCUACAGACAUUUUAACAUACCAAUAGAUUUGUAAACAUUAGUAUCGUCAGGAACCUGCUUCAGCUCCUCCAUUGUCAAAAAAGCACGCUUCUUUUCUGUUUCUUUGGAACGUAUUUGGUUUUGCACCUG
rnacentral:lncRNA from 1 species